rnacentral:rRNA from 1 species
CGCUGGCGGCGUGCUUAACACAUGCAAGUCGAACGCUGAAGCUUGGGUGCUUGCAUCUGGGUGGAUGAGUGGCGAACGGGUGAGUAAUACGUGAGUAACCUGCCCUUGACUCUGGGAUAAGCCUGGGAAACUGGGUCUAAUACUGGAUACUACAUUCUCUCGCAUGGGGGUGUGUGGAAAGGGUUUUACUGGUUUUGGAUGGGCUCACGGCCUAUCAGCUUGUUGGUGGGGGUAAUGGCCUACCAAGGCGACGACGGGUAGCCGGCCUGAGAGGGUGACCGGCCACACUGGGACUGAGACACGGCCCAGACUCCUACGGGAGGCAGCAGUGGGGAAUAUUGCACAAUGGGCGAAAGCCUGAUGCAAGCGACGCCGCGUGAGGGAUGACGGCCUUCGGGUUGUAAACCUCUUUCAGCACGGAAGAAGCGAAAGUCGACGGUACCGUGCAGAAGUAAGCGCCGGCUACUACGUGCCAGCCGCCGC